GAUGUGUUGCCCUUUUAAGUCUUAUCGCCAUUUUACCAUUGCGCAGCAAAGUUGAAGAGAAGUGACAUUAGCCAAUCAAUACAAGCAUAAUAUGUGUGCGUGCAUCCUAUAAACCACACCUAUUACAUGCUAAAUGGGAAAGUAAAGUCCUCAAAGAAAGAA